rnacentral:rRNA from 1 species
ACGGGGUGCAGCAGGCGCGAAACCUCCGCAAUACACGAAAGUGUGACGGGGUUACCCAAAGUGUUCUAUUUAGAACUGUGGUAGGUGAGUAAUGUCCCCUACUAGAAAGGAGAGGGCAAGGCUGGUGCCAGCCGCCGCGGUAAAACCAGCUCUUCAAGUGGUCGGGAUAAUUAUUGGGCUUAAAGUGUCCGUAGCCGGUUUAGUAAGUUCCUGGUAAAAUCGGGUAGCUUAACUAUCUAUAUGCUAGGAAUACUGCUAUACUAGAGGGCGGGAGAGGUCUGAGGUACUACAGGGGUAGGGGUGAAAUCUUAUAAUCCUUGUAGGACCACCAGUGGCGAAGGCGUCAGACUGGAACGCGCCUGACGGUGAGGGACGAAAGCCAGGGGAGCGAACCGGAUUAGAUACCCGGGUAGUCCUGGCCGUAAACGAUGCAUACUAGGUGAUGGCACGGCCAUGAGCCGUGUCAGUGCCGUAGGGAAACCGUUAAGUGUGCCGCCUGGGAAGUACGGUCGCAAGGCUAAAACUUAAAGGAAUUGGCGGGGGAGCACCACAAGGGGUGAAGCCUGCGGUUCAAUUGGACUCAACGCCGGAAAACUUACCAGGGGAGACAGCAGUAUGACGGUCAGGUUGACGACCUUACCUAACGAGCUGAGAGGAGGUGCAUGGCCGUCGCCAGUUCAUGCCGUGAGGUAUCCUGUUAAGUCAGGCAACGAACGAGAUCCGCACCUUUAUUUGCCACCAAGAAGUCACGACUUCGUUGGGAACACUAAAGGGAC